GGAGGAAGGUGGGGAUGACGUCAAGUCAUCAUGGCCCUUACGGCCUGGGCUACACACGUGCUACAAUGGCGCAUACAAAGAGAAGCGACCUCGCGAGAGCAAGCGGACCUCAUAAAGUGCGUCGUAGUCCGGAUUGGAGUCUGCAACUCGACUCCAUGAAGUCGGAAUCGUUAGUAAUCGCGGAUCAGCACUUGUCGCGGUGAAUACGUUCCCGGGCCUUG
rnacentral:rRNA from 14 species